rnacentral:rRNA from 1 species
CCCUUAGAUGUUCUGGGCUGCACACGUGCUACACUGGCAGGUUCAGCGAGCUUCAUGCCCUGAUCUGAAAGGAAUGGGAAAUCUUUUCAAAACCUGCCGUGCUUGGGAUAGAUGUUUGCAAUUAUUCAUCUUCAACGAGGAUUGCCGUGUAAGCGCACGUCAUCAGCGUGCAUUGAAUACGACCCUGUAUUCUGUACACACCGCCCGUCGCUCCUACCGAUUGAAGUUUUCGGUGAGUUGACAGGAGGAUUUUUUUGAAACUGGUUCGCCAGUGGAUUUUAGAUCCAAAUGCCAACGAAUCGAUGGCUUUAGAGGAAGGAGAAGUCGUAACA